rnacentral:rRNA from 1 species
UGUCGAGAAGGGAUAAGCGCUGACUGCAUCUAAGCGCGAAGCCGCAUCCGAGAUGAGUCUUCCCACUGCCUGGCAGCAGGCAGUCAAGAUCCCAGGCAGACGACCUGGUAGAUAGACCACGCGUGGAGGCCUGGUAACAGGUGAAGCGAAGUGGCCCUAAUGAUCGUACGGCUUG